AUUGAACGCUGUCGGCAGGCCUAACACCUGCAAGUCGAGAGAGCGCCAGACGGGUGAGUAAUGUAUGGGUACUGCCCGAUCGUGGGGGAUCACUACUGGAAACGGUGGCUAAUACCGCCUACUAUCGGAUAACCCAUGUGGGAUUAGCUAGUAGUGGGGGUAAAGGCUCACCUAGGCGACGAUCUCUAGCUGGUCUGAGAGGAUGACCAGCCACGCUUGGACGGAGACACGGCCCAGACGCCGACGGAGGCAGCAGGGGGGAAGAGUGGCGAAUGUGCGCAAGCCUGACGCAGCCAGGCCGCGGGUAUGAAGAAGGCCUUAGGGUUGUAAAGUACUUUCAGCGGGGAGGCGGUACCCGCAGAAGAAGCACCGGCUAACUCCGUGCCAGCAGCCGCGGUAAUAC
rnacentral:rRNA from 1 species